rnacentral:sRNA from 1 species
GGUUCGAUUCGAGCGUAGCGAGAAAGCGUUGCCGCAGGCAACGACCCGAAGGGCGAAGCGCGAAGCGCUGAGUAAUCCUUCCCCCACCACCA